rnacentral:rRNA from 1 species
ACUGCUAUCGGAGUGGGACUAAGCCAUGCGAGUCGAACGGCCAUCAGCCAUGUGGUGGUCGUGGCGUACGGCUCAGUAACACGUAGUCAACCUGCCCUAGAGACGGGGAAAGCCCCGGGAAACUGGGAUUAACCCCCGAUAGGCCAGGAACGCUGGAAUGCCUCUUGGUCCAAAGGGAUACUCAUGCAUGCUGUGGGUAUCCGCUCUAGGAUGGGGCUGCGUCCGAUCAGGCUGUUGGCGGGGUAAUGGCCCACCAAACCUGUAACCGGUACGGGCUUUGGGAGAAGGAGCCCGGAGAUGGACACUGAGACAAGGGUCCAGGCCCUAUGGGGCGCAGCAGGCGCGAAACCUUCGCAAUGCGCGAAAGCGCGACGAGGUUACUCCGAGUGCUGCCCGCUGAGGGCGGCUUUUCCCAGGCCUAAAAAGUCUGGGGAAUAAGGGGAGGGCAAGUCUGGUGUCAGCCGCCGCGGUAAUACCAGCUCCCCGAGUGGUCAGGACGUUUAUUGGGCCUAAAGCAUCCGUAGCCGGCCACGUAGGUCCCCUGUUAAAUCCAACGGCUCAACCGUUGGCCUGCAGAGGAUACCGCGAGGCUAGGAGGCGGGAGAGGUGGACGGUACUCCGCGGGUAGGGGUAAAAUCCACUGAUCCGCGGAAGACCACCAGUGGCGAAGGCGGUCCACCAGAACGCGCUCGACGGUGAGGGAUGAAAGCUGGGGGAGCGAACCGGAUUAGAUACCCGGGUAGUCCCAGCUGUAAACGAUGCGAGCUAGGUGAUGGAGUGGUUGCGGACCAUUCCAGUGCCGCAGGGAAGCCGUUAAGCUCGCCGCCUGGGGAGUACGGUCGCAAGACUGAAACUUAAAGGAAUUGGCGGGGGAGCACCACAAGGGGUGAAGCCUGCGGUUCAAUUGGAGUCAACGCCGGGAACCUUACCGGGAGCGACAGCUGAGUGAAGGUCAAGCUGAAGACUUUACCAGACGAGCUGAGAGGAGGUGCAUGGCCGUCGCCAGCUCGUGCCGUGAGGCGUCCUGUUAAGUCAGGCAACGAGCGAGACCCCUGCCGUUAAUUGCCACCAACUUCCGAGAGGAUGGAGGGGCUAGUUAGCGGGACUGCCGCUGCUAAGGCGGAGGAAGGAAGGGGCCACGGCAGGUCAGUAUGCCCCGAAACUCCCGGGCCACACGCGGGCUGCAAUGGUAGGGACAAUGGGUUCCGACCUCGAGAGAGGGAGGCAAUCCCCAAACCCUACCCCAGUUGUGACUGAGGGCUGCAACCCGCCCUCACGAAUCUGGAAUCCCUAGUAACCGCGUGUCAACACCGCGCGGUGAAUACGUCCCUGCUCC